GAUGAACGCUGGCGGCGUGCUUAACACAUGCAAGUCGAGCGAAGCGCUUAAGUUUGAUUCUUCGGAUGAAGACUUUUGUGACUGAGCGGCGGACGGGUGAGUAACGCGUGGGUAACCUGCCUCAUACAGGGGGAUAACAGUUAGAAAUGACUGCUAAUACCACAUAAGACCACGGUACCGCAUGGUACAGUGGUAAAAACUCCGGUGGUAUGAGAUGGACCCGCGUCUGAUUAGGUAGUUGGUGGGGUAACGGCCUACCAAGCCGACGAUCAGUAGCCGAGCUGAGAGGGUGACCGGCCACAUUGGGACUGAGACACGGCCCAGACUCCUACGGGAGGCAGCAGUGGGGAAUAUUGCACAAUGGAGGAAACUCUGAUGCAGCGACGCCGCGUGAAGGAUGAAGUAUUUCGGUAUGUAAACUUCUAUCAGCAGGGAAGAAAAUGACGGUACCUGACUAAGAAGCCCCGGCUAACUACGUGCCAGCCGCCGCAGUAAAAC
rnacentral:rRNA from 1 species